rnacentral:lncRNA from 1 species
AUGGAAGGCAGGGGGCUGAGGGUGGGGACGAGACUGACAGGGAAACUCGGAGGGGUGUGCCACAGGCCUCUCGUGCCCAGCCUUUUCAUCAGCGCCUCCGACUGGCACCCUCAUCCACAUGGCAGAGGAAGGGACAGCAACGUACACACUAAGAAUCCCAAACAGUCUCUCCUUUUCUCUGUCUCUCUCCCUUUCUCUCUCUUCUUCUCUGUCUCUACUUUUCCCUGGCUUUCUCCCUUUCUCUCUCUUUCUUCUUCUCUCUCUCUCCUUUUCUCUGUCUCUCUCCCUUUGUUUCUUUCUUCUCUAUUUCUCCUUUUCUCUCUGUCUCUCUCCCUUUCUCUCUUCUUCUCUUUCUCUAUUUCUCCUUUUCUCUCUGUCUCUCUCCCUUUCUCUCUUCUUCUCUCUCUCUCCUUUUCUCUCUGUCUCGCUCCCUUUGUUUCUCUUUCUUCUUCUCUGUCUCUUUUCUAUUCUCUCUGUCUUUGUCUCUGUUUCUGUCUCUCUUUUAACUCUUGGAAUUGAUAAGGUGUAUCUGUUUCAAGGCAAAAGGAUGUCAGAGGCCAAAUUUGAACCCAGGCCCUCCCAUCUCUAGACCGAGGUUCUCUAUCCACUGAGCCACUUAGCCUUCUCUUC